CGGCGGACGGGUGAGUAACGCGUGGGUAACCGUGCCUCAUACAGGGGGAUAACAGUUGGAAACGGCUGCUAAUACCGCAUAAGCGCACAGUACCGCAUGGUACGGUGUGAAAAACUCGGGUGGUAUGAGAUGGACCCGCGUCUGAUUAGGUAGUUGGUGGGGUAACGGCCUACCAAGCCGACGAUCAGUAGCCGACCUGAGAGGGUGACCGGCCACAUUGGGACUGAGACACGGCCCAA
rnacentral:rRNA from 1 species